rnacentral:lncRNA from 1 species
GUCUGUUCCUCCUUCCUAUUCUCACCGCCUCUCUGCCUUUCUAUUCUUCUAUUGUCAUUGCAUGUCCCCUCCUAAUUUUUCAGGUCACUGUUGCAACAACUGCACUUCUUUUCUCAGGGGCUCUCUAUUCCAAUCCAUUCUCUCACUUACACCCAAGAUAGCUGUUAAAAACACAGCUAUGAUCAUAUUUCUCUCUAUGGAAACUCACUAAUGGCUCUUCUUUGUUUGUAAGACAAACUCUAAAAUAAUAUAACUAGUAGGUCUUUUACAGGCUGCACCCAAAACACAUGUGUGGCUUGUUGCCAUCCAUCAUGCCUUUACAUCCCAGCCAUAACAGUCUUCCUACCAUCCUCCAAGAAGGUAAGAUUUUAUUUCUCAAAAUAAAAUCCCCCAAGCUGGUCCUUCCCAUUUACAUUGCCCUGACAUUCUAAUGCCAUUUCGUCUGCUUAAGAAUCUUUUCUUCCCUGCCAGACAAUAUCUUACUCAUGUUUUAGUAUCAAGAUUAAAUAUCUAUUCCUCUGGAAAGGCUUUCUAGCAUUUCUUCCAUCGGACAGUGCUCCCCUCCCCCAGGACAAAUCUCUCUCUCUGCAGAGUCCCCAUGACUCAUGAAUGUAUUCAAUUAUAAGCUGUUAGUAACUAGAUUAUAAUUUUUGCUUGGAGAUUGAAUCAACUUUUAUAGAUGAUAAAUUCCUUAAAGAUAAAGAUCAUUUUCACUUAGUUAUCUAUAGGUCCCUGAAUGCCUGGAACAGUCCCUGGCGGAGUAAAUACUUCAUAUUUGAUCACAAAGAAAACAUUUAUCUCUUCGGUCCUCGCAAGAGAAGUCAAAGGAACUUUUGUUUCUUAUCAAGAGCCUGGACAUCUUUGUCUGUCGUAACUGGAAAGAGCCUGUUGUACUGAAAUCCUGUUAUCAUGGUGGAUUUGAUCUUCAGUGGCCAAACAUGAAGAAUUAAAAGCAUAAUUCUUGACUGAACUGGUGGGUGGGUUGAACUUUAGGAGUACAUGGGCGGUCAUUCCUGGCGCACAUAUCAGUGUGACAUGAGCCCUGGAGCAUGUCGUCCCUCUCAGCCCUGCUCCUUUCUGUCUCCUGGGGCCCAGUGACUGAGGCCUUACGCUAGAACUGUGUAUCAUCCAACUCUCCAUUUAUAAAGGAAACUUCCUGCUGCAACAACAAAAAAAAAAAAGAAAGAAAAGAAAUGUCCCUGGUCAACAAACAGAGUCUGAAUCACAGCAAGAAUUACAACCCGGCCCUGAAAGAGUAGUCACCAUCUCUAUCAGAAGCAGGGCUUGAGCUGGAAACAGAACUGUGUCUCUCCUAAAGUGAAUGCAUUUUAGGGGUGGGGGAAGUGUGCGCUUAUUGAGUUUUCACAUACUAUUGGAUAUGUGUUUAUAUUUUGGGGUGGAGAGUAUUAAAAAGGAGCCCUUAGUGUUUUUUGUUUAUUUAGGCAGUUGAUUUUUUUUUUUUUUUAAAUCUGACUUCUCACCCCUUUCUUUCUCAAUGUAAUGGCUAGC